rnacentral:rRNA from 1 species
CAAGUCUUGACAUCCCUCUGAAUCCUCUAGAGAUAGAGGCGGCCUUCGGGACAGAGGUGACAGUGGUGCAUGGUUGUCGUCAGCUCGUGUCGUGAGAUGUUGGGUUAAGUCCCGCAACGAGCGCAACCCUUGAUUUUAGUUGCCAGCAGGUAAGGCUGGGCACUCUAGAAUGACUGCCGGUGACAAACCGGAGGAAGGCGGGGAUGACGUCAAAUCAUCAUGCCCCUUAUGACUUGGGCUACACACGUACUACAAUGGCUGGUACAACGGGAAGCGAAGCCGCAAGGUGGAGCCAAUCCUAUAAAAGCCAGUCUCAGUUCGGAUUGCAGGCUGCAACUCGCCUGCAUGAAGUCGGAAUUGCUAGUAAUCGCGGAUCAGCAUGCCGCGGUGAAUACGUUCCC